rnacentral:rRNA from 1 species
UGGUGGAGUGAUUUGUCUGGUUGAUUCCGUUAACGAACGAGAUCUCGACCCUUAAAUAGGUGGCUUGUCGCUUAGACUUUAUCUUCGGAUUUAGUCGAGACGAGCAACUACUUCUUAAGGGGACUGCGUGCGACUAUAGCACGUGGAAGAGCGAGCCAAUAGCA